CAAUAGCGUAUAUUUAAGUUGCUGCAGUUAAAAAGCUCGUAGUUGGAUUUCGGGUGGGAAUGGCCGGUCCGCCGUUUCGGUGUGCACUUGCUACGCCCACCUUGCUGCCGGGGACGUGCUCUUGAGUUCACGCUCGGGACACGGAGUCGGCGAGGUUACUUUGAGUAAAUUAGGGUGUUCAAAGCAGGCCUACGCUCUGAAUACAUUAGCAUGGAAUAACACGAUAGGACUCUGGCCUAUCUUGUUGGUCUGUAGGACCGGAGUAAUGAUUAAGAGGGACAGUCGGGGGCAUUCGUAUUUCAUUGUCAGAGGUGAAAUUCUUGGAUUUAUGAAAGACGAACUACUGCGAAAGCAUUUGCCAAGGAUGUUUUCAUUAA
rnacentral:rRNA from 1 species